rnacentral:rRNA from 1 species
UGCUAGUCACGUGCGUGGUGUGUAGUGAGUGGGGACCUCGGGGUGGGGUGGCGGCGGCGCCGAUGCGAAUUCUUCCUCGCCCCCACCUCCUCUAUCCGUACCCCGCCCUCCUCGUCGUUCCAGACGAAAAUUUCAGAAAGGGGAUGGCGCCGGCGGGAUUGGAUUUCGAUUUGUACUUGUACUUGCCCUCCCAAUCCGAAUAAAACUCUUGCAGUCUGGCUGGAUUCCCUAUUCCCCUCCCUCAAAUAAACCGUCCCCCUUCACUAGGGAAGGGAAGGGAGACGCCGGAGGCUGGAGGGGAUUUGAAGAGACCGCCGUGCGGCGGGUCUGGAUUUAGAUUGAAAUUCCACUGGAGGGAAGGAAGGAGAGAGAGAUCUAUUUAGGUAUGGGGCUUGUGGAUCUCAUGCACCACAAGUCAAUGGAGCGGCAGCCGGACUGCCGGCGACGGCGAGCUCAAGACACUAAUGGAUUGGUUGCUUCACAGGCCAAAAUAAAUGUCUUGCCCUGUCAGCAAGAUGAUGAUUCUCAGGGUGGUGAGCGUGACAUACAGAUGCCAAACCUUCCAGAGGACAUUUGGCGUCACAUACAUUCCCUGAUGCCAAUGCGAGAUGCUGCCCAAGCUGCCUGUGUCUCUCAUGCUUUUCUACGUUCCUGGAGGUGCCAUCCCAACCUCACCUUUUCUGGCACAGCAUUGGGUAUGAAUAAAAAGACUUGUGUAAAUGAUGAAAUUGCCAGAGACUUUCGUAGCAAGGUUGACCAGAUCCUGAAAAAACACUCAGGCAUUGGUGUGAAGAAACUUAAACUUACGAUUGACAUGAUUCAAUAUUACACUGCCAAGGAUUCUUGUUAUGUCAACAGUUGGCUUCUGAUUGCUGUCACACCAGGAAUUGAGGAACUUACACUUCAACUGUCUAUGGGGGAAUACAAUUUUCCAUGCUCACUUUUGUCUAAUGGGAGUGGAGAGUCAAUCCGUUAUCUCCAUCUUUGUGGUUGCUCCUUUCGACCCACAGCUGAACUUCCUUGGUUAAAAAGCUUGACAAAAGUGCGGCUUCAUGCUGUCCGUUUUACUGGGGAUGAGUUAGGGUGCCUUCUGUGCAAUUCUUCUGCUUUGGAGCGGUUGGUUCUCAUGCAUUGUGAUGAGAUGGUUUGCUUGAAGAUCCCUUGCAUGCUGCGGCGGCUCAGGUACCUACAGGUUUUUGGCUGUGAAGAUCUGCGAGUGAUAGACAACAAAGCUCCAAAUAUAUCCAGCUUCUUGUACAGCGGAGAACGCAUUCAACUGUCACUUGGAGACACAUUGAAAAUGGAGUACAUACACUUGUUGUUCAGACGUGCACUUCAUUAUGCUCGUGUUGAACUUCCAUCCAGCAUGCCAAACCUCAAAAUUGCUAAUAUAAAUUCGAGAAGCGAGAUGGCCAAUACACCAGUGCCGCGCAGCAAGUUUCUCCACCUCAAGAAGCUAAUUAUUAGUCUUAACACAAUAACCUUUUCCUAUGAUUAUUUUUCUCUAGUUUCCUUGCUUGGCGCUUGCCCCUCCUUGGAGACACUGGUCUUGGAUGUAUCCAAGGAGAAAAUGGAGCAUGUCUCCAUAUUCACAGAUCCCUCAGAUCUGAGGAAAGGACAGCAGCAUCACAAGAUGAAGAGAGUGAAGAUCCUAGGAUUCACAUCUGCAAAGAGUCUUGUUGAGCUUACUUGCCAUUUUCUUGAGAGCAUAACAUCACUUGAAUACCUUACGCUGGAGUCCUAUCAGAGUCGUUCAAGGUGUUGUGCCUGCUAACAAACGUUGCAAGUGCUUCCCACUGCCCAUUGAUGUUCUCAGGGAAGCUCAACGAGGACUCUUGGCUAUCAGGACAUACAUUGAGCCUAAAGUCCCUUCCAUGGUAAAGCUACGUGUGGUUGAACCUUGCCGCCGUUGCCAUGCUGCUGUUGAACUUUAGAUGUGUAACUCUGGUAGGAGCUAGGGCCCUACCGGAUCUAGGGCGUAGGUUGUAGGGGAAGGAGGGGGAAGGACGAGGGUUGGUGCGCGGCGGCCGCCGGCGUGGCGUCGUCCUUGCGACGGAAGCAGCGGCGGCGAAGGCAGGAGGCGGCUUGGGUUUAGGUCUCCCGGCUCCCUAAGGGAAGCCGAGCAAAUUAUGAUUGCUUCUUGCUUGAUUAGAUUGAUACAUCUCCUCUCCAUCUCCUCUCCUUAUAUAGAGAGGUUUACUUGACUCUUAAGCAAACGAUCCUAAUACGAUAAGAUAAUUGGGCUAAGCCUCUAAUUAAGAUACUUGGGCCAUAACCCAC